rnacentral:rRNA from 1 species
GCAUGUCUAAGUAUAAGCAACUUGUACUGUGAAACUGCGAAUGGCUCAUUAAAUCAGUUAUCGUUUAUUUGAUAGUACCUUACUACAUGGAUACCUGUGGUAAUUCUAGAGCUAAUACAUGCUAAAAACCCCGACUUCAGGAAGGGGUGUAUUUAUUAGAUAAAAAACCAACGCCCUUCGGGGCUCCUUGGUGAAUCAUAAUAACUUAACGAAUCGCAUGGCCUUGCGCCGGCGAUGGUUCAUUCAAAUUUCUGCCCUAUCAACUUUCGAUGGUAGGAUAGUGGCCUACCAUGGUGGCAACGGGUAACGGGGAAUUAGGGUUCGAUUCCGGAGAGGGAGCCUGAGAAACGGCUACCACAUCCAAGGAAGGCAGCAGGCGCGCAAAUUACCCAAUCCCGAUACGGGGAGGUAGUGACAAUAAAUACUGAUACGGGGCUCUUUUGGGUCUCGUAAUUGGAAUGAGAACAAUUUAAAUCCCUUAACGAGGAACAAUUGGAGGGCAAGUCUGGUGCCAGCAGCCGCGGUAAUUCCAGCUCCAAUAGCGUAUAUUAAAGUUGUUGCAGUUAAAAAGCUCGUAGUUGAACCUUGGGCCUGGCUGGCCGGUCCGCCUCACCGCGAGUACUGGUCCGGCUGGGCCUUUCCUUCUGGGGAACCUCAUGGCCUUCACUGGCUGUGGGGGGAACCAGGACUUUUACUGUGAAAAAAUUAGAGUGUUCAAAGCAGGCCUUUGCUCGAAUACAUUAGCAUGGAAUAAUAGAAUAGGACGUGUGGUUCUAUUUUGUUGGUUUCUAGGACCGCCGUAAUGAUUAAUAGGGAUAGUCGGGGGCGUCAGUAUUCAGCUGUCAGAGGUGAAAUUCUUGGAUUUGCUGAAGACUAACUACUGCGAAAGCAUUCGCCAAGGAUGUUUUCAUUAAUCAGGGAACGAAAGUUAGGGGAUCGAAGACGAUCAGAUACCGUCGUAGUCUUAACCAUAAACUAUGCCGACUAGGGAUCGGACGGGAUUCUAUAAUGACCCGUUCGGCACCUUACGAGAAAUNAAANUUUUUNGNUNNUGGGGGG